rnacentral:rRNA from 1 species
UACGUAGGUGGCAAGCGUUGUCCGGAUUUACUGGGCGUAAAAGGGCGUGCAGGCGGUCUGUUAAGUUCAGGGUGAAAGCUCCCGGCUCAACUGGGAGAGGUCCUUGGAUACUGGCAGACUUGAGGAGGGUAGAGGAGAGUGGAAUUCCCGGUGUAGUGGUGAUAUGCGUAGAUAUCGGGAGGAACACCAGUGGCGAAGGCGGCUCUCUGGGCCCUACCUGACGCUGAGACGCGAAAGUGUGGGAGCGAACAGG